GUGAGGAAUAUUGCGCAAUGGAGGCAACUCUGACGCAGCCAUGCCGCGUGCAGGAAGAAGGCGCUACGCGUUGUAAACUGCUUUUAACCGGGAAGAAACCCCAGGACGUGUCCUGGGUUGACGGUACCGGAGGAAUAAGCACCGGCUAACUUCGUGCCAGCAGCCGCGGUAAUACGAAGGGUGCAAGCGUUAUGCGGAUUCAUUGGGUUUAAAGGGUGCGUAGGCGGAGCGUUAAGUCAGUGGUGAAAUCCUGCAGCUUAACUGUAGACUUGCAAUUGAUACUGGCGCUCUUGAGUGCGCUUGAAGUGGGCGGAAUGUGCCGUGUAGCGGUGAAAUGCUUAGAUAUGGCACAGAACACCAAUUGCGAAGGCAGCUCACUAAGGCGAUACUGACGCUGAGGCACGAAAGCGUGGGGAUCGAACAGGAUUAGAAACCCCUGUAGUCC
rnacentral:rRNA from 1 species